UCUCCGUAGGUGAACCUGCGGAGGGAUCAUUAUAGAAUUGGAUCUGUUAAAGGAUCAAAUUCCCACCCUUUGUCAUCUAUCAAUGUUUCCUCGCCGGUUAUCUGACGCUGUAAUAGGCGGACGAGCCGGCAGGAGUUUUUAACCAAAGCUUCGGCUGAGGUAAUACACGAUAUCAUUAUUGUCAUAUCAAAAGUUUAAUAAAUUAAAACUUUCAACAACGGAUCUCUUGGUUCUGGCAUCGAUGAAGAACGCAGC
rnacentral:misc_RNA from 1 species